UACGUAGGGUGCGAGCGUUUAAUCGGAAUUACUGGGCGUAAAGCGUGCGCAGGCGGCGCGUUAAGACAGGUGUGAAAGCCCCGAGCUUAACUUGGGAAUUGCGCUUGUGACUGGCGUGCUGGAGUGUGGCAGAGGGAGGUGGAAUUCCACGUGUAGCAGUGAAAUGCGUAGAGAUGUGGAGGAACACCGAUGGCGAAGGCAAUCCCCUGGGCCUGCACUGACGCUCAUGCACGAAAGCGUGGGGAGCAAACAGG
rnacentral:rRNA from 1 species